rnacentral:rRNA from 1 species
UACGAGUGCCCCAAGCGUUAUCCGGAAUCAUUGGGCGUAAAGGGUGUGUAGGUGGUUGUGUUAGUCUUCUGUUAAAUUCUUCGGCUUAACCGGGGGCAUGCAGGGGAAACGGCACAACUAGAGGAUGCGAGAGGUGAAUGGAACUCAUGGAGUAGGGGUGAAAUCCGUUGAUAUCAUGGGGAACACCGAAUGCGAAGGCAAUUCACUGGCGCACUCCUGACACUGAGACACGAAGGCGUAGGUAGCGAAUGGG